AUGCAAGUCGAGCGAAUGGAUUACGAGCUUGCUCCUAUGAAGUUAGCGGCGGACGGGUGAGUAACACGUGGGUAACCUGCCCAUAAGACUGGGAUAACUCCGGGAAACCGGGGCUAAUACCGGAUAACAUUUUGAACCGCAUGGUUCGAAAUUGAAAGGCGGCUUCGGCUGUCACUUAUGGAUGGACCCGCGUCGCAUUAGCUAGUUGGUGAGGUAACGGCUCACCAAGGCAACGAUGCGUAGCCGACCUGAGAGGGUGAUCGGCCACACUGGGACUGAGACACGGCCCAGACUCCUACGGGAGGCAGCAGUAGGGAAUCUUCCGCAAUGGACGAAAGUCUGACGGAGCAACGCCGCGUGAGUGAUGAAGGCUUUCGGGUCGUAAAACUCUGUUGUUAGGGAAGAACAAGUGCUAGUUGAAUAAGCUGGCA
rnacentral:rRNA from 1 species